rnacentral:lncRNA from 1 species
GAAGAUUCUCAGGAGUUUCAAGUUCAUCGUUCUUCAUUCUUGUUCUUUUUUCCGGUGGAUUCAAUUCAAGCUCUUUGUGUUCAUCAUAUCCUUUUCUUUUGUUCAAUGUUUCCUGUAUUGGAAAUUAUUAUUCAAGUCUUUCUUAUUUUUUUCAUCUCUCCCCAUUCUAUCCGGAGUGUUCUCGAUAUCUCAGAGUUUCUUGUUCUCAAUCCUUUCAAUUAUUUCGAGGUGCGCAACCUCAUCAAGUUUUUCAUUUAUCUGGUGUAAUCUGUCUUCCUAAGUAAUUGUUUCAACGGUGUUUUCCUUUAGU